UACGAAGGGGGCUAGCGUUGUUCGGAUUAACUGGGCGUAAAGGGUGCGUAGGCGGUGCUCUAAGUUCGGUGUGAAAUCUCCUGGCUUAACUGGGAGGGUGCGCCGGAAACUGGAGUGCUUGAGCGUGGGAGAGGAAAGCGGAAGUUCCUGGUGUAGCGGGUGAAAUGCGUAGAUAUCAGGAGGAACACCUGUGGUGUAGACGGCUUUCUGGACCAUAGCUGACGCUGAGACGCGAAAGCUAGGGGAGCAAACGGG
rnacentral:rRNA from 1 species